UUUUUUAGGGUAUUAUGACUAUUUCUUCUUUACUGUAAUUUAAUUUUAUUUUUUCUCCUUUAAUGCUGCCUGAUCUCAACGUCAGCAUGACUACUUGCAUACAUACAGACUGUGUGUGCAUAUAGGCUGAUUUGUAAGACACUUUCACCAUAUCUGUUCCACGAGCUCUUUGCAACAUGAAUCUUGGCUAUGGAAAGCACUUGAUGAAAGCUCUGGAAGAAGCACAAUGACCACGCUUCAAGUACCCAUAAUAUCCAUUGCCACUGAAUUUCGUGUACAAAUCUGAUAAGGUAUUUCCAUUGUUAGCCAUCAGGACAUGGCCGCUGUCUCACUGAUGAAGUCUUCAUGUGGCAAACCGUAACAUUUACCAGCUUGUAAUUUGUCUAGGACUCAGAUAUGCUGAAGAGGGUAAGCUGAGUUGUACAUUUUGGAGAAGAAAAGGGUAAAGACAGUCCUCAGUUUUUCACACAGCUCUCGGAACAUUGUUUUUUUCUUGCUCUAAACUGAGUCUUCCUCUGCUGAAGAACCUCUUUAGUUGUGUUUGGAAAACUAGAGUGAUAAUAAUGUCACAUAGUUCAAAAGAAAUAAAAUUUAAGGCUCAAUUUAUUUUUUUUAAGCCUACUACAUAUUCACAGAAUAUUCAUAAGCACAGUGAGUUACAAUUUUAUAGAGAUUCACCAGUAAAAACAGAAAGUAUCUCUGUAUGAACCAGGUGUUUGCAAGUGGAUAUCAGAAUUUUAUGAAGACUAGAUUUGAGCUGUAGUCACAUUAACAUGAGCAGAGCCUAGACUAGUGCAAGCGCUAAUCAGCAGCUGGUUAAAUACUUUCUCCUUUUACACAUAUCCCCUGCAGUUAUUCUGGCCUUGCUAAAAACAGUGACAAAACUCCUGUUAGCAUCAGCAGGCCCAGAACAUUACCCAAAGAAUCUUUUUCAAACUAGUAAAACAUUUUGAAGUUCAGGGAACUUUUAAAGUGCGACUCGUUAUGUGGGGCAGCUUUUUGUAAACUCAGGGAGGUUUUAUAGCAAGAAAAAUGUCUGCAAGAUUCAUGUAACUGAAAUGUGCAGCAGGAGUUCUCAGCAUGCAGCAGUGACAUUCAUCAUAGUCAGAUACUUUCUUUGAAUUCAUAUGGUCCCAAUAUAUUAGUGAGAACUUUAAUCUCAAAAGACAAAUCUGACCCACAAUUGAAUUCAUGGGGAGCUGCAUUCCUUGUGCAUGAAUACAUGAAAACCUUGUAAGCUGAAUUGCUAAGGUCUUUGCGGUGGUAUGCGUGUGUCCUCCUUACACUGACAUUGUGCCAAAUCCCAAAUUUUGUGGUUUGUCAUUCAGAAUAAAUUCAUAAGUGUUUUGUUCCAGUGUGUGCGGGCUUGUCUAGCAAGUAACACCAGAUAUUUUUAGAGAGGAAGAGUGGCAAGAAGAGAUAAUAACUGUUGUAAAGAUUUCCAUCAAUGUUAAAUUCAUGGGAGAAUAAACUUGUGGUUUUGAGAAACAGUCUUUGUUCUGU